rnacentral:rRNA from 1 species
CAGGCUUAAUCGUACGCAUUAGUUCAGAAAAACAAUACUGCUCGCCAGAGCAAUACGAGCCACAGGUUAAAACUCAAAGGACCUGGCGGUGCUUCAUAUCCCUCUAGAGGAGCCUGUUCUGUAAUCGAUAAACCCCGAUCAACCUCACCACCUCUUGCUCAUCCUAUAUACCGCCAUCUUUCGCAAACAAACAAU